AGCCCCGUAGUGUAGUGGCCCAUCAUCCUGGAUUUUGGGUCCUGGGACCUCGGUUCAAAUCCGGGCGGGGCUA
rnacentral:tRNA from 1 species